AAAAACCUAGAACUCACCUUCAUACGUACCUUGAGCGUUUUGAAAAGAGUGUGAAGGAUCUUUUCGAUUGCUUUGGCUAUUCGUACAUAAUAAAGAAGAGGACGUGAGGAAGGAGCAUCUUUGAAGUAUGUAACGUUUUCAGGAAUCCCAGGUAAGGGGAACAACUAAAUUGAUUGUGAUGUAUACGGAAUUGUUAUAUACGUUUUGAUAUUCUGGUUUUCAUGUCUAUGAAAUAUGCGGUUACAUGGUUGGGAGUGUGGAUUCUAAGGUCUGGACGCGGAACGUAUGAAGACCUUGUAAGAGUAGGGCAAGGGUGGUGAUCCAUGAGAGGGUCAUAGUUUGUAUGCAGAAAAGAAGUUUGGAUGGUAGCGAGAAGUAGGUUGCUCUUAAAAUGAAAGAAAAGAAAGAGAGAGUGUGAGAAUACUUGAACGGUUACGUUAGUGGAGAGUAGUGUGAGACGUUGGUUUUGGGGUAUUAUUAAUAUUAUGAAGUUUUAUGCAUGGAAAGAGCACCAGAUCUUGGUGGGGUGUGUUGGGAAUUUUAAGAUGAAAAAAAAAGGGUUUUUACUCUACGUAAAUGGCAAGGUGGGAGAGGAUGUAGGAAAGAAAGUGUAAUAUUUAUAUACAUAGUAGAGAAAAGGGUUGGUGUGGUGCCUGGGAAUGAUGAAGAGUGAAGAGAAUCGGGUAUAGGUGCUGUAAAAUAGAAACUGAAGAAGGAAUUAGCUUUAGAGUACGUGCAUAGGAUGGAAGUUGGUUGCCUCUGGUUUGUUUCGUUGCUUUAUAGGAUAAUAUUAAAAUUAAAGAAAGAAGAAAGAGAAUAAGAAGAGAGUUGGGUGACUGAAAGUUGUUUAUUUGAUGAUUGGUGAGGGAGGUAGUGACGUGAAUUUUUGUGGAAGAAGAAAAGAGAGACAUAUGGGUGUGUUUGGCACGUAAAUAAGUUAGAAAUGAGAGAAAGACUUUAUGAAAGAUAGCGGAAAGGAGAAUAUGUGCGUGCUGGAAUUGUACGGUAAGAAGGGCUUUAAAUUGGGUGUUAAAAGGAGAAUUUUAAAAUGAAAAGGGAAUAAGGAGUGACAGUUUUCUUUACACAGCAAAGAAGAUUUUCUUUACAGAAAAAAAAAAUAUAGAGGAGAGAAAGUGUGGGUUAUAGGUGAGAUCAUAUGAGGAAGAAUGUAAUUGGAUUCAAAUGUAAAUAUAAAUAAUGUUUAAUAAAAGUAUGUGAGAGAGAAGGAAAUGAUUGGAGUAAGUGGAGGAAUAGGAAUGGAGCCAGGAGAGAAGAAGAAACUUAGGUAUUAAAUGUAGGGAUUAAUUUAGCUUUUAUGCUAUAUGAUGCUUGAAGGAUUUGGUUUUCCUGUUACAUGCCUAAAGGGAUACGUGAAUAGUAGAACAGGAAGUGUUUAUUUUGAUUUAUAUUACGGACAUUAAAUGGUAUAGGUUCCAGAUAAAAGAAAAGUUAAAAGAUGGAAAUUUGGGAUUUGUUUGAAUACCAGAAACAUUACCAAGGUUAUUAAGCUAACUUAAAAUUUGUUUAAUAUUAUAUUAUGUUAUAUAUUUAUUAGAAUCAGUGAGUUUGGUAUCUGUUGGCUAACAUGAAAUUAAAUUAUAUUUAGUAGGUAUAGUUAAGUUGAGAAAUGAUACAAAUGAUAUUUAUAAUUUAAUACGAGUUAUUAUUAUGUAUAUUAAAUAAAUAAUAAAAGUUGAAUAUUUUUAUGUGUUGUAGUGACAUUUUAUAAAAGUCAUAGUAAUUUCAUAUGUAUAUAUGGUGAUUUACUUGAAGUCGUAUUAUUUAUAAAAGAUGUUGUGGUGUUUUAUAUAAAGUUGCAUAUUGUAUACGAUGUGGUAAAACCUUAUGUUUGAUGAGUUAAUACGUAGUAUUGAGAAUAUGAAUGAAAAGUAUUGAGGUUGUGUUAUAAGUCUUAUGAUUGGUGAGCAAUGCAUAUUGUUGAGACUAUGUAUAUUUUGAGAAUAGUGAGAUAAAUCUUAUGAUUUGUGGAGAAACAUAUGAUAAUGAGAAUGUCUAUGAAAUUGUGAUAUGAACAUAAAACUGUUAUUUUCCUCAUACUGUUGUCGUUUGUGUGAGCCUUUCAUAUUGCGAUACGAUAAGGAUGUUGAGUCUCGUAUAGAGACAGAGAUUCAAGUGUCACUUCCUUUUGCGAAAGGAGGUGAAUGUCUCGCCCAAAGGGAUUUUCGAUAAAUCGGGGAGAUAGGUCUGAAGUUGCGAUGGAGGACGACUCGAAUCGCCCUGUUUUGCAUAACAGGUUGGGACGACAAAGUACAAGGAAAACGACAUUGGUUUAUAGAUGGGUUGGUGUGAUAUUGUUGGAGCGUUGGGAUAUGAAUUCAUUACUUGGUAUAGCCUGUGUUUGGUGUUGUUUGACUGUAUUAUAUUUUAUGAUGAUGUUUACGGUUGCUCGCCCUUGCAUUUUUGUGGUUGUGGUUUCCACCUACGAUGAUCGUACUUGUAUGGGAGUAGAUGGCGUUGCAGAUAAGAUCGGAUUGAAGUAACUAACGAGAGUUGAGGAUCUUUGGUUUCGGGGUUAAUUGUCUAUUAAUUAAAGAGUUUUCAGAUUUGCUAUAUUUUUAUGUAAAAAUGGUAUUUUGCUAUAUAUAUAUAUAUAUAUAUAUAUAUAUAUAUGUGUGUGUGUGUGUGUGUGUGUGUGUGUGUGUGUGUGUGUGUGUGUGUGUGUUUGGCUUCCGGAUUUCAAUAGAG
rnacentral:lncRNA from 1 species